rnacentral:lncRNA from 1 species
UUUUAAAGUACUAAUAAUUCCUUCAACUAAGAGCUGUCCUCAAAAAUAAAUAAAGCACCAGAUAUAAAAUGCACAGCACCUUGUAAGUGAUCAACUUACAGUUUCUUGAAAAACUUUUCUUGGUAAAUGUUGAAGGUAUUUGACUGAAUUGAUAUCUGUAGCUUUUAAGAGGUUGCUUAGAACAUGAAAUUAAAUGAUUGCAUUUUUUAGGAUCAGACUUUCUUAAUUCUCUAAUUUUAUUUUAGGAAAAAUUUGUUUUACUUUUCAGGGAAAAGGCAUUUUAGAAAGCUUUCAUAUCUUUAACAGUCAUUCUGAAAACUUUGUAUUGAAUUUCCCUGAAAACAUACAUGUGUUUAAAAUUUGAAAAGAAGGGGGGAAUAUUUGGCAAUAGUGUGUUUAGAGAUUUGAUCAAAACCCCAAAUAUUUUGAAACCUAAUGCAACCCAUACCUAGAUUAUUUUUACUUCUCAAAAGUCCAGUAAUUUAAUCUCUUAAUCAAACCUCUUGAAGUUUCCAUUUCUAACUAAAUGAAAUGAUAAUAAAUAAUGAGCCAAAAAAAUAAAGAGCACCCAUUUAAGGGGCAAAUGUGGGAAAUUUGAUGGGAAAUGAAUGUGAGUUUAAAUAAAAUGAAAAUAUCAUUUCUCUCCCUUGAUUUUCAGCUCCAAGUAAAUGAGGGACUGAGUAGGAGCCAGCCUAAAUUCCUUGGAUUGAGUUCUUCAAUGUAGAGUUCUUCAUCCAUGGUGCUGACUCACUGCAUUGACUGAGCAGGCUGCCACAACUCAGUCCUUCUGUAGGACUGGCUGUCCUGGUGGAAGGCAUCCAGCAAAGAAUUUAAAUUCCUUCCUCCAUGUUUUGGCAUCCUCAUUCCAGGUUUUUGGAAGCUUCGGACAGGUAUUUAUCUCCCUUGAAGAUUAUUUUCAAGUUCCUUUAAAAGCAAAGGAUGCCGUUCCUGCCAAAGCUAACAGCAGAGGGUGGAGGAGAUCAUUAGUUGACUAAAUAUUUCCACAACAAAAGUUGGGAAAUUUAACCUCAAGGGUAUU